rnacentral:rRNA from 1 species
GAUGAACGCUAGCUACAGGCUUAACACAUGCAAGUCGAGGGGAAACGACAUCGAAAGCUUGCUUUUGAUGGGCGUCGACCGGCGCACGGGUGAGUAACGCGUAUCCAACCUGCCCAUCACUUGGGAAUAACCUUGCGAAAGUAAGACUAAUACCCAAUGAUAUCCCACGAAGGCAUCGGAAUGGGAUUAAAGAUUUAUCGGUGAUGGAUGGGGAUGCGUCUGAUUAGCUUGUUGGCGGGGUAACGGCCCACCAAGGCAACGAUCAGUAGGGGUUCUGAGAGGAAGGUCCCCCACAUUGGAACUGAGACACAGUCCAAACUCCUACGGGAGGCAGCAGUGAGGAAUAUUGGGCAAGGGGCGAGAGCCUGAACCAGCCAAGUAGCGUGCAGGAAGACGGCCCUAUGGGUUGUAAACUGCUUUUAUAAGGGAAUAAAGUGGGUCACGUGUGACUUUUUGCAUGUACCUUAUGAAUAAGGACCGGCUAAUUCCGUG